UCUUUGGGUAAAGAAUCUGCCUGCAAUGCAGGAGACCUGGGUUCAAUUCCUGG
rnacentral:tRNA from 1 species